GACGGCGAGUGAUGAAAACGACAUCAACGUGGAACAAGUCGUAGUAUAGGUUAUGCCCCUAAUGACAUAGGAUCGUGACACGUGGGCGUUAUUUCUCUUAACACAUUCUCACUGUAUUCCUUAUAAAUUAGGGUCACGUCUCGUUGAAACUCAUUGUAACUAAUUGGGUAUUUGUUUUUCGUCAUUUUUUCUUUGUUCUGCACUUCUGUGUAUCUCUCUUCUUCCAUUUUCAAAAUGUCUGGCUGUGGGUGUGGAAGCAGCUGCAACUGUGGCAGCAACUGCAGUUGCAAUAAGUACUCUUUUGACUUGAGCUAUGCUGAGAAAGAAGAGAGUCUAGUCUUGGGUGUUGGGCCUGUGAAGGCCCAAUUUGAAGGUGGUGAAAUGGGUGUUGCAGCUGAGGACAGUGGUUGUAAGUGUGGAUCAAACUGCACUUGUGACCCAUGUAACUGCAAAUAGGUGAAGAAGAAAGCUUGAAGCAGAGAUAACUGUGAUAUAUGUAUCAAAAGUACACACUUGAUAAUAAGAAACAUGUUGUGUUUGGUUUCAACUUUGGUUUGGAGUUUUACAAUAAAGUGGUCAUGGUUUACCCUUUUACAAGUUCAAAAGCUCUAGAAUUUGUCGCAGGUGUUUUAUGCUAUGGUUACUUUGUGUUUGGUUUGUAACAUAACUAUGUGUGAUUUGAAUUAUCAAUGAAUCUCUGCUCAUAAAUGAAAUGUUAUUGCUGUUAUUAUAUGAAUAAAAUGUUUGCUGAUUUCACCUUGA